rnacentral:snRNA from 1 species
GGACUUACUUAGACAGCACAUAUACUAAAAUUAGAACUACAGAAAAAUUAGCAUGGCCCCUGUACAUGGAGGACAUGCAAAUUCAUGAUGUGUUCCAUAUUUUU